ACGCUCGACACCUACGGGAGCAGCAGUGGGGAAUAUUGCACAAUGGGGGAAACCCUGAUGCAGCGACGCCGCGUGAGCGAAGAAGUAUUUCGGUAUGUAAAGCUCUAUCAGCAGGGAAGAUCAUGACGGUACCUGACUAAGAAGCUCCGGCUAAAUACGUGCCAGCACGCCGGACGGUAAUCUGGAGGCCGGGCUGGACGAAGGC
rnacentral:rRNA from 1 species